AAUUGAUCUUCUGGUACAAAAGCCAGAAUAUUUACAUAAGACGAGAAGACCCUGUGGAGCUUAAAAUCACAACUAAAUAAAAACUAGUAUUAAUUUUAAGUUGGGGCGACUUCGGAAUAAAACAAAACUUCCGAGCUAGGAGACAACUCACCUCCUAAUAAGGCCAACAAGCCGAUUAAACAGACCCAGUCACACUGACCAACGAACCAAGUUACCCCAGGGAUAACAGCGCAAUCCCCUCCAAGAGUCCAUAUCGACAAGGGGGUUUACGACCUCGAUGUUGGAUCAGGACACCCUAAUGGUGCAGCCGCUAUUAAAGGUUCGUUUGUUCAACGAUUAAUAGUCCUACGUGAUCUG
rnacentral:rRNA from 1 species